GCCUCUGUAGCUCAGUGGUAGAGCAUGAGAGAAAUUUAGGGUUAUCCUAGUGCGCCACGUCAGCAGGUGGGGGGCUGUUCGGCAUGGGGUACUGAGAUUAUUGUCCAUCUCAUGGUCGCGGGUUCGAAACCUGCCAGGGGCU